GCCUGCGCACGCAGUGGGGCGCCGGAGCUCCGCGUUUGUGCCUGUCCCGCGCUCAGCCAGGGCCCUGGAAACCGGUUCUCUGCGCAAGCGCCCCGAGAGACACCUCCGCCCCGCCCCUCUCCCGGGGUUCUACGGGGACAAUGGACCUCUGCCCGCGUCUGCCGUGCGGGGUACGUCAGUAGCUACUUACGUCCUUGCUGGCGCCUGGGGUUUUUUCUAGAGCCAGUUUCGGGCCAGGCGAGUGACUGGUCCGCUGGGGACCCUGAGCUCUAGGGACUACCUGGGGUGCUUUGGCUCUCGACCUUUCAGUUCCACCUUUUCUCUCCACCCCAUCCUCAAGCCUGGCUCCCGGCCCGCCGGCAGAAAUGCACUUUGGGGCAGAAGCCAGCAAGCGUCGCCUUUCCACUCGCCCACCCAGUGUGGAGUAAAGCCUUCCUGAUCUCACUCGUCUGUGGAUAGCCUGUGGUGAGAGGGCAGUUUCUGGAACAGAGAUCUUUUCAGAAGUCGCGCUGAAGAAUUCAUGCUAAAUCUCGGCAGCAAAAGCCAAAUUUGGAGAAGGAAAGUUUUCCUCCUAGAAUAAGGUCAAUUCUGGGAUUCGGUUUUCCUUUUGGAAGUUAAGCCUGGAAGUAAUUCAGCCAUCCUAAGUGAACCAAAGGCCAUGGCAUAUUUGAAAUGAAGAAAUUGUUUUGUAUUUUGUAAGGGUAGACAGAAUGCUAAGGAGAUUGAUAUAGGACGCCUACUUAAGGAAACUAUCUCGCUAUGGGGUAUGUAACUGCCCCGUGUAUUGUAGGCCUGUAAUGGCUCUGUUUACUCACGUAUGUCACCUGCCCAACCUGUCAGUCUCUUAUAGGUAUUUCAACUUGUGAACCAUUAUAUGGUUCUUCAAGACUUGAGGAAUUUACUUAUUCAGCAAAUAUUAGGCCCUACCACGCACAGGUCACUUGAGACACAGGACAAGAUCUCCGUGUAUAUAUGGGAGGAGAUCUACCCUAAAAGUGUCUUAGAAAGAGUUAUAAAGACGGUUGAAAAGAUGAACUGUCCACUAACUCUUGGAAGCUUUUGCUGAAGGGGAAGCUACUUUGAAAACAACUGCCUUAGGGUAUGAUAGAGAAACAAUGUGGAAGGUACCUGGGUCCCUGCAUGUUCCUCAAAGGACAGAGUUGCCUUUUCAACCUGGACCAUAUACCAACCUCCAUACUGUUAUGAGAGAAAGAAAUAAACUGCAUUUUUUAAA